rnacentral:rRNA from 1 species
AGAGUUUGAUCCUGGCUCAGAACGAACGCUGGUGGCGUGUCUUAUACAUGCAAGUCGAGCGGUGCAGCAAUGCAUAGCGGCGAACGGGUGAGUAACACGUAAGCAAUCUGCCCCCCACUCGGGGAUAGCCGUGCCAACGCGCGGAUAAUACCGGAUAUCGUGGCCAUCCACAUGGGUGGUUGACGAAAGAUUUAUCGGUGGGGGAUGAGCUUGCGUCCGAUUAGCUAGUAGGCGGUGCAACGGACCACCUAGGCGACGAUCGGUAGCCGGCCUGAGAGGGCGAUCGGCCACAUUGGGACUGAGAUACGGCCCAGACUCCUACGGGAGGCAGCAGUAGGGAAUAUUGCACAAUGGGGGGAACCCUGAUGCAGCAACGCCACGUGUGGGAAGAAGCAUUUCGGUGUGUAAACCACUGUCGUGAGGGAAUAAUGCUCGCUCUCGGGCGAGUUGAAUGUACCUCGAAAGGAAGCACCGGCAAACUUCGUGCCAGCAGCCGCGGUAAUACGAGGGGUGCAAGCGUUGUUCGGAAUCACUGGGCGUAAAGGGAGCGUAGGCGGAGGUGCAAGCAGUCUGUACAAUACCGGGGCCCAACCCCGGACCUGCAGACUGGACUGUUCCUCUUGGAUAGUUCAGGGGCUGGCGGAAUUCCUGGUGUAGCGGUGGAAUGCGUAGAGAUCAGGAAGAACACCGAUGGCGAAGGCAGCCAGCUGGGGACUCAUCGACGCUGAGGCUCGAAAGUGCGGGUAGCAAACGAGGAUUAGAUACCCUGGUAGUCCGCACCGUAAACGAUGCAUACUGGGUGUCCGGGGUUCGCCCCCGGGUACCGCAACCAACGCGUUA